GACUCUGUUCACGGCCGCGGUAUCCUAACCGUGCGAAGGUAGCGUAAUCACUUGUUCUUUAAAUGUGGACUAGUAUGAAUGGCAUCACGAAGGUUAUACUGUCUCCUUUUUCUAAUCAGUGAAACUAAUCUCCCCGUGAAGAAGCGAGGAUAAAACUAUAAGACGAGAAGACCCUAUGGAGCUUUAAACAUUUAUAACACUUGCUAAAUAAAAUACAAAUUUCAGAAUUAUUUAAUCUUUAAGCAACUUGUCUAUAAGUUUUUGGUUGGGGUGACCGCGGAGCAUAAUACAACCUCCAUGUUGAAAGAUCUAUUUCUAAGCUAAGAGCUACACCUCUAAGCAUCAACAUAUUGACAUCCAUUGACCCAAUAUAUUUGAACAACGAACCAAGUUACCCUAGGGAUAACAGCGCAAUCCACUUCAAGAGCUCCUAUCGACAAGUGGGUUUACGACCUCGAUGUUGGAUCAGGGUUUCCCAGUGGUGCAGCCGCUACUAAAGGUUCGUUUGUUCAACGAUUAAAACCCUACGUG
rnacentral:rRNA from 1 species